AUCACCUGGGGAUCUUGUUAAACUGCAGACUGUGUUCUCUGGGGCCUGAGAUUCUGCAUUUCUAGCAAGCUAUCAAGUGAUGCCUA
rnacentral:pre_miRNA from 1 species